CAUCUUCAUCAUCUGGCCCGAUGAAGAAAAGGAACUUGACUCGAGAACCUCCUGCACCUGUUGUACCAGAUUUCACACCCUGUAUGCUUUUAUUCUCACUCAGUCUUCAGACUCUCAGGGUGGAUUUGUGCUCCUCACAGGACCUUUUAUUUAUUCUUUCUCUCUCGCUGUCUUGAUCUAGUGUGAGGAGUCGUGUGAAACUUUGAGGAGCUCUUUGCUUUUGUUGGUUUUUCUUAUUAAAUCCACAGUUUCAUCACAUGGAGCCGUGGAGCAGGAAAUUUUUUUUACUAUUCAUUCUGAUAUUUAUGAUCAAUUUAUUCUAAAUGCUGUGGAAACGUCACCGAACAUCAAGAUUAUACAUAAAGCAGAGGCAAAAUGCAAACAGACAAAACAAACUCUGGAGAUUGGAUGGAUUUUUUGCAAAAAAAACAACGUAAGGAUGAGUUCUCACUGGAUGUUGUUGCUCAGUGGGAUUUUCUAGCGUACGCUGGGCCUGGUGGAAAGUUCUAAACCUGAUCAACUGUAGAGGUGAUGAAGAUGAGGAUGAAGUCAAACUAUCAGUGGAGGAGACGCAACCAGUGCAGUUCCAAAGCUUAGUUCAUCCAUUCUUUUCCAUUAAAAGAAAUCGUGUGCUCUGACUCUUCUUUUUAAAAAAGGAUAUUUGAGUGGGUUGAGCAGCGGAAGUGGCUGAGAUGUAAUUAGAUUUAAAUUUGUCUGUUACAUAAUACAUUAAAUUGUCUUAAUUAAG